CCGGCUUUGUACCACACAACUAUGUCCACGAUGAAGGCCAUCACAAGGAUUCCACCCGUCGUGCCUGUUGCAAAUGAAAAUCUACGAGUUAUUCGAGAAUGUAUAACUUGUUUGUUAACUUGUGUGUAUUUAUGCAUAUCUUUCGCGUACCGUGAUAAAACAUCCUGAAGACAUUUGAGUCGUAGAGCCAACAGGCGCCUCGUUCACCACAAGCGUAUUCCCACACAAGACACGCUGAAUCCACAACAGCACCGUAUACGAUUGGACAUGGUACGUUACC